UACGGAGGGUGCAAGCGUUGUUCGGAAUUACUGGGCGUAAAGCGCGUGUAGGCGGUUUCCUCAGUCUGGUGUGAAAGCCCGGGGCUCACCCCCGGAAGUGCAUCGGAUACUGGGAGACUAGAGUACCGGAGAGGAGGGUGGAAUUCCUGGUGUAGCGGUGAAAUGCGUAGAUAUCAGGAGGAACACCGGUGGCGAAGGCGGCCCUCUGGACGGAUACUGACGCUGAGGCACGAAGGCCAGGGGAGCAAACGGG
rnacentral:rRNA from 1 species